UGUGAGUUUGAUCUUGGCUCAGGAUGAACGUUAGUAAAAUGUUUUACACAUGCGAGUUAAUUUUUUAGCGUUCGGGUGAGUUCGUUAAGUAUUUAUCUAUUUUUUAGCACAUUUAAUAAUUUCACUUUAUUCUUUAGUGUUCUAAUAGGAAAGCUUUUCAGAAAGCAAGGUAGUAGGUAAGAUAAUAGAUUACCUAGCCUUUGACUUCUAGCGGUUUCGAAAGAAUAAACCGCCACAGUGGCAUUGAAAAAAGGGCCACACUCUCUUUUGAGGCAGCAGUGAAGAAUCUUAGGCAAUGGGCGAAAGCUUGACCUAGCAAUUUUACAGAAUGAUGAAAGCUAUUUUGCUGUAAAGUUCUAUUAAUAAUCUUUAUCACAUUGAGCAAGGUUAUUAAUUAGUCCUGACCAACAUGCGUGCCAGCAGUCGCGGUAAUACGUGGAGGGCAAACGUUAUCUAUACAUUAGGCGUAAAAAGUUUGUAGGCGGUUAUCUAUGUUAUUUUUAAAAAAUUAAUCCAAAGUUAAUCAAGAAAUAAUACGUUAUAAUCUUGAGAUUUUUAGGAGGAAAUAGUACUCUUGAAGUACGGGUAAAAUCGGUUAAUAUCAAAAGGACUCUUUUGUGAAGACAAUUUCCUACGAAAGUCUAACGCUGAGAAACGAAAGCACAGGUAGCAAAAAGGAUUAGAUACCCUUGUAGUCUGUGCCGUAAACUAUGUUUAUUGUUUAGCGUAAUUUCUUUUUGGAGAAUUGCGUUAAAUAAGCUAACGCUAAAUAAACUGCCUGGAAAGUACCUCGGCAACGAUGAAAUCCAAAAGAAUUGACGGGAGCUAGUAAAGGCAGCGGAGCAUGUUGCUUAAUUCGAUAAUACGCGAGAAAUCUUACCAAAGCUUGACAGUAAUUUUUUUAACAGGUGUUGCAUGGUUGUCGUCAGCUCGUGUUUUGAAAUGUAUGGUUAAGUCCUUAAACGAGCGAAACCUUUACUUAAAUUUGUUACAAAUUUAAGCUAGUUUAGAUAAUAAACUUGAGAAUUAAGACAAAGACAAAUCUUCAUGACCCUUAUGUUUUGGGCUGCAAACGUGCUACAAUGGUAAUAACAAAAAGAAGCAAUAGAGAGAUCUAAAGCAUACCUUUUAAAUAUUACUUUAGUUCAGAUUGAAGAUUGAAACUCAUCUUCAUUAAGCUGGAGUUGCCAGUAAUCGUAAAUCAUUACGUUACGGUGAAACUAUUAACCUAGCUUUGUACAUACCGCCCGUCAUGUUAUGGGAGGUUUUAUUAUACUAAAAGAUUAUAGUCUAUACUAUAAUAAAACCAACUGUAAUAAAGUCGUAACAAGGUAGCUGUAAGCGAACUUGCAGCUG
rnacentral:rRNA from 1 species